GAAAUCAAAACCUUCAAUGAGUUAUUUCCCUCUCCCUUCCAUUACUUUUCAAUCUAUGUCCAUUCUAACUCAGGCUUAACUCAUAUUAACAAAUUCAUAUUGGUUUUUUUUGCCAAUAUACCCAAUAAAUAUUUAUUAUACUAGCUGUAUUAUACAAAUACACUUAUGUUCGAAAAACUCAGAGGCAGAUUUACUAUGAAGUAAAUGAGGCUCCCUCAUUUGCAUGAGACCCUUCCAAAGCCCUAUAUCUAAUUUUGCAAUUAUAAUUUGUGUUCAUUUUCUUAAAGUUCUCCUGCCAAAUUAGAGAAGGUUUGGGCUCACAAAAAUCAGGUCCAUCUCUAUAAUAAUGGCAUUCUAUGUUUUCAUCAUGGAAGGUACGUGUUAUAUAGACACAGGACCUGAGAAUCAGAGAGGUAAAAGACUUGUCUAAAUUCUCCUCUUGAAUGGCAAAUGAACUAAGCUGAGAUCAUUUGCCUCUGAAUCCAGAACAUUUUGAUUAAGCCACAGUGCUUACUUCUCAGAGAUGAAGAAUGCUGCCAUAUCAUGUUCUCCAGGUGCUCAAUUUCAUCAUCGCUGCAAUCAAUCUACUUCUCUCAAAGGUGGCCAGAAAUUAACACAUUUGUUGAGGGCCCAUUACUCACCAGGCCUUCUACCAGGUGUUUCGCAUGUGCACGCACAUAGACACGCUUGGAUGCACCAACACGCAAUUUCUUUUGAUUCUCUAAACAACCUAGUGAAGGUGCACAAGUGAUGGAAACAAGGCUUCAAAAGGGUGACUUGCCGGAAGUCUCAGAAAGUGGGUGAUAUUUGAAACUACACCUAUGCAACUCUGAAGUCUAUGACUUUCCUGUUUUUAAGGCUGCUUCUCCUUUUUGUAUCAAAUCUGGGCAAAGCAAUCACAUCACAGAAGUCAUCUCUUGCACUCCAGUGCAUGUCAACAGUGGUUUUCUUUGGUGACACUGAGAAGAAAAAAGCCAUCAACCCAGUCCUCUUCAGAUUCAGUGUCACAGGUGAGUAUUUGAGAUACAGACCAUCACUCAAACGGUCCAUCUACUGAAAAAGCAACCUUUGCGCACCUGUAUCUCUCUAGCAGUGUCAUCUUUUAGAUGGGGGAAUAAUCCUAUAAAAAUCUCUCCCUGCAAUGCAAGUCUGCUCUAAUCCCCAGAUGCACUCCUCACAUCCCAGAUUAGACAAGCCCUCUAAAUUACCCAUGGUUUUGCCAAGAAGAAGACUUCAAUUUAUAGGAAACUUUGGGUAACCAAGUUGCCUUCUCACUGGGGACAAUGGAAAUGAUAACAGCACAUGCCCAGAUGGAGCCAAAUGACUCUGCAGCCCAGGAAUUCAAAGCAGUAGCUGCUGAAUCACAUGUGUCAAGAGUAAUCACAGAGCACAUGCCCAACCACUAUGGGAGGAUUCCUGAACAGGGCUGCAGGACUACUGCCGUGUGUUACAGAGCCUCCUUCACCUCUGAACCCUCACAUACCUGGGGACCUCUGGACCAAAGCCCAUGUAGUCUUUCUUGGAGAUGCAUAAAUCUGCUACAAGGGUGGCCUCUCAGGCCCCUCUUCUAAGAGGAAUCAUUCUCAGGAAAGUUAAAUGCAGGGGGCCAGAGCAAGGGAUCCCCCAGACUGGGUGUAGGACCAACCCCCGUUAUGGGAUUACAGGCACAAGGAUCCACAGAAAAUCACAUAGGUUGGUUUGGAACAAAAACUAAAUACGACAGCAAUUAAAACUAUUCUACUGAACACUGAAAAUACCAGCAGGACUCUCCUCUGCCUCCAACUCCUCCCCUUUCCCCCUAAGAUUAAAAUUUGAGAUGGUCAGAACCAUUGGCAAGACAACUUAUUCUAACGCAAAAACAAGAAGUGAUACAAUCUAUUGCUUUUCGUUGGCUUCCUCCUGACGGCCUUGGUUCACAAUGAUCCUUGCUCUCAAUGGAAACACAGCUGCAGCUUCACAACUAGUCUCCCUUUCUAGGGUCAUUCUCCUCCAGUCCAUCUUCUACAUUGCUGUCGGAAUAUUUUCCUAAAGUACACAGAUAACCAUGCCUUGCCCCUCUCAGAAUCUGUGGGCUCUUAAUCACCUGAAGGACACAAUAUAGAAUCCCUGGUCUCGUGGACAAUUUUUCACAAUCUUCUCUAAACUCACUUCUAACCCUCCUCUUGAUGCACCUUAUAUCCCAGGCUGUUAAUAUACCUGGUGUUGCCAAAACACACCUUUUUUUCUUUAUAUCUCUGUCCAGUGGACCUUGGCUUCUGCUCCUAAAGAGACAUUAUCUACACAUAAACAUGGAGCAUUUCUAUUCAUCCUUCAGACCCUACUCAAAUACCUUUUCCUCUUGAGAAGCUGAGUCCCGUGAUCCCAUCAUGAAUCAUUCUCCCUAAUGGGACGCCAUAGGAUUUGCACAUAAAACUAUGGCAACACUUAUCACAAUGCAUUGUAAGUACUUGUUCAAAUGGAUAUUUUUCUCCCAAAGACUGUGAACUUGGCAAGGGCUGAGUUCUUUGUUAUUCUACUUUAUGUUACUCUGGGUAUUUAGCAUGGAGGAGAUAGACUAGAAUUGUAGGUAGCCUAUAAAAUAAUGAAAUAAUGAGCAAAGCACUGGCAUAGAGAAAUUAAACAUAAGCAAAAGCAGAAAAAUGGAUCAAAUAUGACACAAGAGGAUAUAGUAUAAAUUAGCACCUUAAAAGGUUUUUUUUUUACCUGAUAAUCAUUUUUCCAAAGUAAUUUCAUAUGAACGCUAUACCAUAGUUAUUUUCUAUAGCAAAACAAAUGAUGAACUAUUUUUUGUCCAGCAACAGAUCAUUUUACUUACUGCAACCUUAUGAUCCAUCCAUAUAUAGAACUCUAAUGAUAGUCUACAUCAGGGGUCGGCAAAUCUCUCCUAUAAAGUAGAGUCAGUUAAUAUUUUAGGCUUUGCAGGGGCACAGCCGUGGCAUACGGAGGUUCCCAGGCUAGGGGUCCAGUCGGAGCUGUGGCCACUGGCCUACACCACAGCCAUAGCAAUGCAGAAUCUGAGCCGUGUCUGCAAUCUGCACCACAAGUCAUGGCAAUUCCAGAUCCUUAACUCACUGAGCAAGCCCAAGGAUCGAACCUGUGUCCUCAUGGAUGCUAGUCGGGUUCGUGAACCACAAGCCACGACAGGAACUCCUAAUAAAACUUUAUGAACACUGAAAUUUGAAUGUUAUAUGAUUUUUAUUUCACAAAAUAUUAUUUUUUCUUGAUUCCUUUCCAGCUACAUAAAAAUGUAAAAAAUCAUGUACAAAAUGAGUUGUACAAAAGCAGGUGGUGGAACAAAUUUGGCCCAUAGGCUGUACGCUGAACUACAGUUUACAAAAUUUUUUUUAAACCUUGGCUCAAAUGCUAGUCAUUGUUCUAUGGCAGUCUUUCCCAAUAUAAAAGAUUCUUUGUCACUGAAAGUAAUAAUCCCUUGAGCAUUGCAAGGACUCAGAAAUAUGAAAUAAAAAGCAAGAUGAAUGAUUUGUCACAUUGACUGUAAAGACCUAAGCAGUUUAUCUGGCUUGGUGUAAACACACUGCAGGGUGGAAAAUGGUGGUAAUUUUUUUUUUCCUUCUCAAAUAAGAAAGGACAAAAGAAACCUGCAGAAUGUUACACCAACGGAUUUGUCGUAAUCAGCCUAUGCUGACUGUGUGUUUAUCUGAUGAAAAACUCAAAAUGUCCCAUAAAACAAAUUCAUGGCCAAACAGAACUGGGUGUUUUUGCUGGGAUGUGCCACAUAUUGGUAACACAAUCAAUACUCUAUCAAAGCAAAAUUAUAACAGAAUCAUUUUGGAGUGUAAUGUCCAUUGCCUUCCAGAAGAUACAGCCCAUAGGCAGAAACCGCAUCACUGCAGUUCAACUCUGUACAGAAGCGAGACCAAGCUUCUUAGAAUGUCCCAAACACUUUU
rnacentral:lncRNA from 1 species